rnacentral:rRNA from 1 species
GCUAGAUGCUGACGAGCGGCGGACGGGUGAGUAAUGCAUAGGAAUCUACCCGGUAGUGGGGGAUAACCUGGGGAAACCCAGGCUAAUACCGCAUACGUCCUACGGGAGAAAGGGGGCUCCGGCUCCCGCUAUCGGAUGAGCCUAUGUCGGAUUAGCUAGUUGGUGAGGUAAUGGCUCACCAAGGCAACGAUCCGUAGCUGGUCUGAGAGGAUGAUCAGCCACAUCGGGACUGAGACACGGCCCGAACUCCUACGGGAGGCAGCAGUGGGGAAUAUUGGACAAUGGGGGGAACCCUGAUCCAGCCAUGCCGCGUGUGUGAAGAAGGCCUUCGGGUUGUAAAGCACUUUCAGCGAGGAAGAACGCCUAGUGGUUAAUACCCAUUAGGAAAGACAUCACUCGCAGAAGAAGCACCGGCUAACUCCGUGCCAGCAGCCGCGGUAAUACGGAGGGUGCAAGCGUUAAUCGGAAUUACUGGGCGUAAAGCGCGCGUAGGUGGCUUGAUAAGCCGGUUGUGAAAGCCCCGGGCUCAACCUGGGAACGGCAUCCGGAACUGUCAAGCUAGAGUGCAGGAGAGGAAGGUAGAAUUCCCGGUGUAGCGGUGAAAUGCGUAGAGAUCGGGAGGAAUACCAGUGGCGAAGGCGGCCUUCUGGACUGACACUGACACUGAGGUGCGAAAG